GCCCUGGUAGCCCAAUUGGCAGAGGCAGCAGAUUCAAGUCCUGCGCAGUGUGGGUUCGAAUCCCACCCAGGGUACAA
rnacentral:tRNA from 1 species